rnacentral:rRNA from 1 species
AUUGAACGCUGGCGGCAUGCUUUACACAUGCAAGUCGAACGGUAACAGGCCUUCGGGUGCUGUCGAGUGGCGAACGGGUGAGUAAUGCAUCGGAACGUACCCAGAGGUGGGGGAUAACGCAGCGCAAGCUGUGCUAAUACCGCAUGUGAUCUGAGGAUGAAAGCGGGGGACCGAGCAGCAAUGUUUGGCCUCGCGCCUUUGGAGCGGCCGAUGUCGGAUUAGCUAGUUGGUGGGGUAAAGGCCUACCAAGGCGACGAUCCGUAGCUGGUCUGAGAGGACGACCAGCCACACUGGAACUGAGACACGGCCCAGACUCCUACGGGAGGCAGCAGUGGGGAAUUUUGGACAAUGGGCGCAAGCCUGAUCCAGCAAUGCCGCGUGCGGGAAGAAGGCCUUCGGGUUGUAAACCGCUUUUGGCAGGAACGAAACGGUGUCCGCUAAUACCGGGCGCUAAUGACGGUACCUGCAGAAUAAGCACCGGCUAACUACGUG